rnacentral:tRNA from 1 species
GGGGCUGUGGCUCAGUGGUAGGGCGCUCGCCUAAUGUGUGUGAGGCCCUGGGUUCAAUUCUCAGCACCA